rnacentral:rRNA from 1 species
UACGUAGGGUGCAAGCGUUGUCCGGAAUUAUUGGGCGUAAAGAGCUCGUAGGCGGUCUGUUACGUCGGCUGUGAAAACCUGGGGCUCAACCCCGGACCUGCAGCCGAUACGGGCAGACUAGAAUUCGGUAGGGGAGACUGGAAUUCCUGGUGUAGCGGUGAAAUGCGCAGAUAUCAGGAGGAACACCGGUGGCGAAGGCGGGUCUCUGGGCCGAUAUUGACGCUGAGGAGCGAAAGCGUGGGGAGCGAACAGG